AACAAGACAUGUUAUAAAGUGUGCGGCAAUCGAGUUAGCCGAAACAAAGGAGAUCGUAAUGAAACUUUCAACGUUGGUAUCAAUUGUUUUACUUUUCAAGACUUGAGCCCUAGUAGUGUUCGGAAGAAGAAGCAUGGAAAGUUAAUUGGCAACAAGUAUGGUACUCACCAUCGAUGUGACUCGAAAGCUCAAAAGAGGUCAAGGCACAGGUACUUGAAGAAAAACUAUAUAGACCCUCAAAAACUUGAGUUGCCAAGACAUUGCCUGAAGGUAAAGAAAAUGCCUACAGACCGCCUAGUUCUGACGCCUACUGGUCAUCCCAAGCAACUGGUUUCUGAGGAUAUUUCUGAAGUGAAGAUCGACCACCAAAACAGAAACAGCAGCUCCAAGUCCCCAGAAAUGAGUUCCAAGAAUGUGAGAGGUCGGAAGAAAAGGAAGGGCAGAAGCGGCAAUGUCUUCAACAUUGUUGGCAAUCAAAUUAAGGGGAGCAAAGCUGACCGGGUAGGAAUUUUCGGUUUUGGCAACACCCACGUCCAUAAAAGGCCACGAGAAAGAAAAACAAGUCGACUCCAUGGCCAAUAGAGAAACCAACUCGGCCUCCAGUAAAAAUGAAAAAGGCAAGCGAUUGCUGGAAAAUACAUUACUUGGAGUGGUUCUGUGAGGAAGCACUUGUUAGACUUUGUAAUUAUCUUAGAGAUAUGACUCUCAUUCAUUGUACAUAUCAUUACAGUCUAAUACAAUUGUUUUUAUCUUUGAUUUA